AUUGAACGCUGGCGGCAUGCCUUACACAUGCAAGUCGAACGGUAACAGGGAGCUUGCUCCGCUGACGAGUGGCGAACGGGUGAGUAAUAUAUCGGAACGUACCUUUGAGUGGGGGAUAACUAGUCGAAAGAUUAGCUAAUACCGCAUACGAUCUACGGAUGAAAGUGGGGGACCCGUAAGGGCCUCAUGCUCAUAGAGCGGCCGAUAUCUGAUUAGCUAGUUGGUGAGGUAAAGGCUCACCAAGGCUUCGAUCAGUAGCUGGUCUGAGAGGACGACCAGCCACACUGGGACUGAGACACGGCCCAGACUCCUACGGGAGGCAGCAGUGGGGAAUUUUGGACAAUGGGGGCAACCCUGAUCCAGCAAUGCCGCGUGAGUGAAGAAGGCCUUCGGGUUGUAAAGCUCUUUUGUCAGGGAAGAAACGGGAUGUUCUAAUACGAUGUCCUAAUGACGGUACCUGAAGAAUAAGCACCGGCUAACUACGUGCCAGCAGCCGCGGUAAUACGUAGGGUGCAAGCGUUAAUCGGAAUUACUGGGCGUAAAGCGUGCGCAGGCGGUUAUGUAAGACAGGUGUGAAAUCCCCGGGCUUAACCUGGGAAUGGCAUUUGUGACUGCAUAGCUAGAGUGUGUCAGAGGGGGGUAGAAUUCCACGUGUAGCAGUGAAAUGCGUAGAGAUGUGGAGGAAUACCGAUGGCGAAGGCAGCCCCCUGGGAUAACACUGACGCUCAUGCACGAAAGCGUGGGGAGCAACAGGAUUAGAUACCCUGGUAGUCCACGCCCUAAACGAUGUCUACUAGUUGUCGGGUCUUAAUUGACUUGGUAACGCAGCUAACGCGUGAAGUAGACCGCCUGGGGAGUACGGUCGCAAGAUUAAA
rnacentral:rRNA from 1 species